rnacentral:rRNA from 1 species
GACGAACGCUGGCGGCGUGCCUAAUACAUGCAAGUAGAACGCACAGUUUAUACCGUAGCUUGCUACACCAUAGACUGUGAGUUGCGAACGGGUGAGUAACGCGUAGGUAACCUGCCUGGUAGCGGGGGAUAACUAUUGGAAACGAUAGCUAAUACCGCAUAAUAUUAAUUAUUGCAUGAUAAUUGAUUGAAAGAUGCAACUGCAUCACUACCAGAUGGACCUGCGUUGUAUUAGCUAGUAGGUGAGGUAACGGCUCACCUAGGCGACGAUACAUAGCCGACCUGAGAAGGUGAUCGGCCACACUGGGACUGAGACACGGCCCAGACUCCUACGGGAGGCAGCAGUAGGGAAUCUUCGGCAAUGGACGAAAGUCUGACCGAGCAACGCCGCGUGAGUGAAGAAGGUUUUCGGAUCGUAAAGCUCUGUUGUAAGAGAAGAACGGGUGUGAGAGUGGAAAGUUCACACUGUGACGGUAUCUUACCAGAAAGGGACGGCUAACUACGUG